UUUACAACUCCCAAACCCCUGUGAACAUACCUAUUGUUGCUUCGGCGGGAUCGCCCCGGCGCCCUCGGGCCCGGACCCAGGCGCCCGCCGGAGGACCCAAACUCUUGUCUUUAUGAGUAUCUUCUGAGUAACACAAGCAAAUAAAUUAAAACUUUCAACAACGGAUCUCUUGGUUCUGGCAUCGAUGAAGAACGCAGCGAAAUGCGAUAAGUAAUGUGAAUUGCAGAAUUCCGUGAAUCAUCGAAUCUUUGAACGCACAUUGCGCCCGCUAGUAUUCUGGCGGGCAUGCCUGUUCGAGCGUCAUUUCAACCCUCAAGCCCCCCGGGCUUGGUGUUGGGGAUCGGCCCGCCCCUCGCGGCGAGCCGGCCCCGAAAUCUAGUGGCGGUCUCGCUGUAGCUUCCUCUGCGUAGUAAUACACCUCGCUCCGGAACGCGGCGCGGCCACGCCGUAAAACCCCCCACUUCUGAAGGUUGACCUCGGAUCAGGUAGGAAUACCCGCUGAACUUA
rnacentral:rRNA from 1 species